rnacentral:rRNA from 1 species
UGGGGAAUUUUGGACAAUGGGCGAAAGCCUGAUCCAGCAAUGCCGCGUGUGUGAAGAAGGCCUUCGGGUUGUAAAGCACUUUUGUCCGGAAAGAAAUCCUUGGCUCUAAUACAGUCGGGGGAUGACGGGUACCGGAAGAAUAAGCACCGGCUAACUACGUGCCAGCAGCCGCGGUAAUACGUAGGGUGCAAGCGUUAAUCGGAAUUACUGGGCGUAAAGCGUGCGCAGGCGGUUUGCUAAGACCGAUGUGAAAUCCCGGGCUCAACCUGGGAACUGCAUUGGUGACUGGCAGGCUAGAGUAUGGCAGAGGGGGGUAGAAUUCCACGUGUAGCAGUGAAAUGCGUAGAGAUGUGGAGGAAUACCGAUGGCGAAGGCAGCCCCCUGGGCCAAUACUGACGCUCAUGCACGAAAGCGUGGGGAGCAAACAGGAUUAGAUACCCUGGUAGUCCACGCCCUAAACGAUGUCAACUAGUUGUUGGGGGAUUCAUUUCCUUAGUAACGUAGCUAACGCGUGAAGUUGACCGCCUGGGGAGUACGGUCGCAAGAUUAAAACUUAAAGGAAUUGACGGGGUCAUAGCUGUUUCCU